UACGUAGGGUGCGAGCGUUAAUCGGAAUUACUGGGCGUAAAGCGUGCGCAGGCGGUUCGUUGUGUCGGCGGUGAAAGCCCCGGGCUUAACCUGGGAAUGGCCGUUGAAACUGGCGAACUGGAGUGUGGCAGAGGGGGUGGAAUUCCGCGUGUAGCAGUGAAAUGCGUAGAGAUGCGGAGGAACACCGAUGGCGAAGGCAGCCCCUGGGCUAACACUGACGCUCAGGCACGGAAAGCGUGGGAGCAAACAGG
rnacentral:rRNA from 1 species